AAUGAACGUUGGCGGCAUGGAUUAGGCAUGCAAGUCGAGCGAGAAGUUUAAGUUUGACGCUUCGGUUGAUUUCUUAAAUGGAAAGCGGCGAAAGGGAGAGUAACGCGUAGUUAUUUGCCCCAAGGUCCGGAAUAGCUGAGGGAAACUUCAGGUAAUGCCGGAUAAUAUCCCCGGAUCAAAGGUGCGAUUCCGCCUUGGGAGAAGACUGCGUACUACUAGCUUGUUGGUGGGGUAAUGGCCUACCAAGGCGAUGAUGGUUAGCGGGCGUGAGAGCGUGGCCCGUCUCACUGGGACUGAGACACUGCCCAGACACCUACGGGUGGCUGCAGUCGAGAAUCUUCGGCAAUGGACGAAAGUCUGACCGAGCGAUGCCGCGUGCGGGAUGAAGGCCCUCGGGUUGUAAACCGCUGUCAGUUGGGAGGAAGGCUCCGUGAAGAGCGGAGUUUGACCUAUCUUCAGAGGAAGUCCGGGCUAAGUUCGUGCCAGCAGCCGCGGUAA
rnacentral:rRNA from 1 species